GCAGGUCAGAAGCUGUCCAGCUCCCCAAGCGCCGUCGCUUCCCAAGCCGAGAGCGCGAGUUCGAUUCUCGUCACCCGCUCCA
rnacentral:tRNA from 1 species